GUAGGGAAUCUUCCACAAUGGACGCAAGUCUGAUGGAGCAACGCCGCGUGAGUGAAGAAGGGUUUCGGCUCGUAAAGCUCUGUUGGUAGUGAAGAAAGAUAGAGGUAGUAACUGGCCUUUAUUUGACGGUAAUUACUUAGAAAGUCACGGCUAACUACGUGCCAGCAGCCGCGGUAAUACGUAGGUGGCAAGCGUUGUCCGGAUUUAUUGGGCGUAAAGCGAGUGCAGGCGGUUCAAUAAGUCUGAUGUGAAAGCCUUCGGCUCAACCGGAGAAUUGCAUCAGAAACUGUUGAACUUGAGUGCAGAAGAGGAGAGUGGAACUCCAUGUGUAGCGGUGGAAUGCGUAGAUAUAUGGAAGAACACCAGUGGCGAAGGCGGCUCUCUGGUCUGCAACUGACGCUGAGGCUCGAAAGCAUGGGUAGCGAACAGG
rnacentral:rRNA from 1 species